GUGCAAUCUGAUGGUGUUGAUACAUCAUAUUCAUUAGAUGCACGUAGCCAUAAACCUUUAACAAGAUAUGUUACUGCACUUCCGAUGCCAAAAAAUAUCCCUAACAUGGUACAGUGUCUUUCACUAUGAUCACAAAUGAAGUGAUUUUCCCCGUGAUUUGGUGGUAAAUCCACUAGCUCUACUUCCUAAGAAGUUUUGGUGCUAAAUAUGGUGGCA
rnacentral:misc_RNA from 1 species